rnacentral:rRNA from 1 species
UACGGAGGGGGCUAGCGUUGUUCGGAAUUACUGGGCGUAAAGCGCACGUAGGUGGCUUUGUAAGUUAGAGGUGAAAGCCCGGGGCUCAACUCCGGAAUUGCCUUUAAGACUGCAUCGCUAGAAUUGUGGAGAGGUAAGUGGAAUUCCGAGUGUAGAGGUGAAAUUCGUAGAUAUUCGGAAGAACACCAGUGGCGAAGGCGACUUACUGGACACAUAUUGACGCUGAGGUGCGAAAGCGUGGGGAGCAAACAGG